GGACGAACGCUGGCGGCGUGUUUAACACAUGCAAGUCGAACGGAGAGUACCAAGUAGCAAUACGCGGUAUUCUUAGUGGCGGACGGGUGAGUAACGCGUGAGCAAUUUGCCUUAGGGUGGAGGAUAACAGCGGGAAACCGUUGCUAAUACCGCAUAUGACUACGGCCGGGCAUCCGGUUGUGGUGAGAGGAGCAAUCCGCCCUUAGAUGAGCUCGCGUCCCAUUAGGUAGUUGGCGGGGUAACGGCCCACCAAGCCUGCGAUGGGUAGCCGGACUGAGAGGUUGGCCGGCCACACUGGAACUGAGACACGGUCCAGACUCCUACGGGAGGCAGCAGUGAAGAAUAUUGGGCAAUGGGGGAAACCCUGACCCAGCAACGCCGCGUGAGGGAAGAAGGUUCUCGGAUUGUAAACCUCUGUCCCAUGGGAAGAAAAAAAUGACGGUACCAUGGGAGGAAGCCCCGGCUAACUACGUGCCAGCAGCCGCGGUAAUACGUAGGGGGCAAGCGUUGUCCGGAAUUAUUGGGCGUAAAGGGUGCGUAGGCGGCCCAUCAAGUUGGAUGUGAAAUCCCCGUGCUUAACAUGGGAAUUGCAUUCAAAACUGAAGGGCUUGAGUGUGGAAGAGGUAAGUGGAAUUCCCAGUGUAGCGGUGAAAUGCGUAGAUAUUGGGAGGAACACCAGUGGCGAAGGCGACUUACUGGGCCACAACUGACGCUGAGGCACGAAAGCGUGGGGAGCAAACAGGAUUAGAUACCCUGGUAGUCCACGCUGUAAACGAUGAUUACUAGGUGUAGGGGGUAACACCCCCCCUGUGCCGCAGCUAACGCAAUAAGUAAUCCGCCUGGGGAGUACGGUCGCAAGAUUGAAACUCAAAGGAAUUGACGGGGGCCCGCACAAACAGCGGAGCAUGUGGUUUAAUUCGAAGCAACGCGAAGAACCUUACCAAGGCUUGACAUCCUCUGACCGCCGUGGAAACACGGAAUCCCUUCGGGGCAGAGAGACAGGUGGUGCAUGGUUGUCGUCAGCUCGUGUCGUGAGAUGUUGGGUUAAGUCCCGCAACGAGCGCAACCCUUACACUUAGUUACCAGCGGGUAAAGCCGGGGACUCUAGGUGGACUGCCGGGGACAACUCGGAGGAAGGUGGGGACGACGUCAAAUCAUCAUGCCCCUUAUGUCUUGGGCUACACACGUGCUACAAUGGCCGCUACAAAGAGCAGCAAGGGCGUAAGCCGGAGCGAAACUCAUAAAAGCGGUCCCAGUUCGGAUUGUGGGCUGCAACCCGCCCACAUGAAGUCGGAGUUGCUAGUAAUCGCGGAUCAGCAUGCCGCGGUGAAUGCGUUCCCGGGCC
rnacentral:rRNA from 1 species